UACGGAGGGGGCUAGCGUUGUUCGGAAUUAUUGGGCGUAAAGAGCGUGUAGGCGGCCGUACAGGUCAGCUGUGAAAACUCGAGGCUCAACCUCGAGACGUCGGUUGAAACCGUACGGCUAGAGUCCGGAAGAGGAGAGUGGAAUUCCCGGUGUAGCGGUGAAAUGCGCAGAUAUCGGGAAGAACACCCGUGGCGAAGGCGGCUCUCUGGGACGGUACUGACGCUGAGACGCGAAAGCGUGGGGAGCGAACAGG
rnacentral:rRNA from 1 species